AGAUUAAACUGAAGAGUUUGAUCCUGGCUCAGAGUGAACGCUGGCGGCAGGCCUAACACAUGCAAGUCGAGCGGCAGCGCGGGGCAACCUGGCGGCGAGCGGCGGACGGGUGAGGAAUGCAUCGGAAUCUACCCUGUCGUGGGGGAUAACGUAGGGAAACUUACGCUAAUACCGCAUACGACCGAGAGGUGAAAGUGGGGGACCGCAAGGCCUCACGCGAUUGGAUGAGCCGAUGCCGGAUUAGCUAGUUGGUGGGGUAAAGGCCUACCAAGGCGACGAUCCGUAGCUGGUCUGAGAGGAUGAUCAGCCACACUGGGACUGAGACACGGCCCAGACUCCUACGGGAGGCAGCAGUGGGGAAUAUU
rnacentral:rRNA from 1 species